GCAUAUCAAUAAGCGGAGGAAAAGAAACCAACAGGGAUUGCCUCAGUAGCGGCGAGUGAAGCGGCAAGAGCUCAGAUUUGAAAUCGUGCUUUGCGGCACGAGUUGUAGAUUGCAGGUUGGAGUCUGUGUGGAAGGCGGUGUCCAAGUCCCUUGGAACAGGGCGCCCAGGAGGGUGAGAGCCCCGUGGGAUGCCGGCGGAAGCAGUGAGGCCCUUCUGACGAGUCGAGUUGUUUGGGAAUGCAGCUCCAAGCGGGUGGUAAAUUCCAUCUAAGGCUAAAUACUGGCGAGAGACCGAUAGCGAACAAGUACUGUGAAGGAAAGAUGAAAAGCACUUUGAAAAGAGAGUGAAACAGCACGUGAAAUUGUUGAAAGGGAAGGGUAUUGCGCCCGACAUGGGGAUUGCGCACCGCUGCCUCUCGUGGGCGGCGCUCUGGGUUUCCCUGGGCAGCAUCGGUCUUGCUGCAGGAGAAGGGUCUGGAACGUGGCUCUUCGGAGUGUAUAGCAGGGCAGAUGCUGCGUGCGGGACCGAGACUGCGGCGUGAGUCACGGAUGCUGCAAACGCGCACACCGCCGUCUU
rnacentral:rRNA from 1 species